UCCAAUUUUGCAACAAAUAUAUGGUAGGUCCUUCAUAAAAAGAACUCAAUUCGGGCACUCGGAAAAUGAAAAAUGAAUUUUUCGUGCAAAGAAAAUGAAAAAUCCCUUAGGCAACAUUGUUUGGAAUUCCAAGAUGCACCCUUGUGCACAAUAUGAGAUCAUUUGAACAAACUAUGCCAUGAAUGUGGCCAUAAGAUUGAUUAUUUGGCUUGAAAACGCUGAAUCUUCACGCGUGAUAGCUCAUUUUUGAGAACACUUUUUUAAAAUAAUUGUCGUAUUACAAGUUUAUUAUUUUUCCUGGAAACUUGGUCACAUAUAAUGACACAAUGUGAAGGUUUCCCAAUGUUUUGAUUUUUUUGAAUUUUUUAUGCCCGUUUCAAAAUGCGGUCAAAACGGUGGGCAUGACCGUUCCUAGCUAGUGAUUGAAUCUUGGAAUUUUUUUGGUGUUUCUAUGAUUAAAUAGAAACUUUUGUACCUAGAAAUGAUUUUUGGAAAAAAUAAAGAGCAAACUAUGAGGCAGCUGCAGUUCAAAUUUGACCCGCUUCCUACUGAAUCGGCGGGAAUUUGUCUUUUUCACCAGAGGUGGAUCAAAACUUUUGACACCCAACCAUUUGGUCAGCUGUGAAUAAAAUAUGGCCUAGUAUUUUAUAAAAAUGAUUUGGUCCAAUUUUGCAACAAAUAUAUGGUAGGUCCUGCACAAAAAGAACUCAAUUCGGGCACUCGGAAAAUGAUUAAAAAUAGAUAGAAAGAUCAAAAAUGUAUAGAAAUUGGUCCUUAUCCAUAAAAUGUGGUCUAAGUCUAGUGAAAAUUUGUGUGGUGCCAUUUUGCAAAAUAUUUUUGAUAGCUACUUCACAAAAUUCCUCUAUUUUUAGUACUUAGAUACUUUUUUAAAUCACUGGUUUUCCGAACCAAUCAGGAC
rnacentral:lncRNA from 1 species